UACGUAGGCAGCGAGCGUUGUUCGGAGUUACUGGGCGUAAAGGGUGUGUAGGCGGUUUUCUAAGUUUGGUGUGAAAUCUCCCGGCUCAACCGGGAGGGUGCGCCGAAAACUGGAGACUAGAGUGCGGGGAUGGGAGAGUAGGAAUUCCGUGGUGUAGCGGUGGAAUGACGUAGAUAUCCGGAAGAACACCGGUGGCGAAGGCGGUCUGACUGGGCGAGUUGCUGGACACUGAGCGCGACGAGCGUGGGAGCAACAGGAUAAGAACCGAGUACGU
rnacentral:rRNA from 1 species